UACAGAGGUCUCAAGCGUUGUUCGGAUUCAUUGGGCGUAAAGGGUGCGUAGGUGGUUGGGUAAGUCAAAUGUGAAAUCCCGGAGCUCAACUCCGGAACUGCAUUCGAUACUGCCCGGCUAGAGGAUUGGAGAGGAGACUGGAAUUCACGGUGUAGCAGUGAAAUGCGUAGAUAUCGUGAGGAACACCCGUGGCGAAGGCGGGUCUCUGGACAAUUCCUGACACUGAGGCACGAAGGCCAGGGGAGCAAACGGG
rnacentral:rRNA from 1 species